AUUGAACGCUGGCGGCAGGCCUAACACAUGCAAGUCGAGCGGAUGAAGGGAGCUUGCUCCUGGAUUCAGCGGCGGACGGGUGAGUAAUGCCUAGGAAUCUGCCUGGUAGUGGGGGAUAACGUCCGGAAACGGGCGCUAAUACCGCAUACGUCCUGAGGGAGAAAGUGGGGGAUCUUCGGACCUCACGCUAUCAGAUGAGCCUAGGUCGGAUUAGCUAGUUGGUGGGGUAAAGGCCUACCAAGGCGACGAUCCGUAACUGGUCUGAGAGGAUGAUCAGUCACACUGGACAGGGGAAACGCUCCAGACUCCAAGGGGGGGCAGAGGGGGGUAUUUUUGGGCACUGGGCGAAAGCCUAGUCCGUCCAUCCGGGGGAGGUGAGGAAGGUCUUCGGAUUGUAAAGCCCUUAAAGUUGGAGGGAAGGCAAUAAAGUUAUUACCUGACUGUUUGACGUUACCAACAGAAUGAGCACCGGCUAACUUCGUG
rnacentral:rRNA from 1 species